GGCUUAGAGUUUGAUCAUGGCUCAGGACGAACGCUGGCGGCGUGCUUAACACAUGCAAGUCGAACGGGGUGUUUAUUUCGGUAAACACCAAGUGGCGAACGGGUGAGUAACGCGUAAGCAAUCUACCUUCAAGAUGGGGACAACACUUCGAAAGGGGUGCUAAUACCGAAUGAAUGAGAGAUGACCGCAUGGAUAUUUCUCUAAAGGAGGCCUCUGAAAAUGCUUCCGCUUGAGGAUGAGCUUGCGUCUGAUUAGCUAGUUGGUGAGGGUAAAGGCCCACCAAGGCGACGAUCAGUAGCCGGUCUGAGAGGAUGAACGGCCACAUUGGGACUGAGACACGGCCCAGACUCCUACGGGAGGCAGCAGUGGGGAAUCUUCCGCAAUGGGCGAAAGCCUGACGGAGCAACGCCGCGUGAAUGAAGAGGGUCUUAGGAUCGUAAAGUUCUGUUGUUAGGGGCGAAGGGCAACAUUUUGAAUAAGGGUGUUGUUUGACGAUACUUAACGAGGAAGCCACGGCUAACUACGUGCCAGCAGCCGCGGUAAUACGUAGGCGGCAAGCGUUGUCCGGAAUUAUUGGGCGUAAAGGGAGCGCAGCGGGAAGUUAAGCGGACUUUAAAGGUGCGGGGCUCAACCCCGUGAGGGGGUCCGAACUGACUUUCUUGAGUGCAGGAGAGGGAGGCGGAAUUCCUAGUGUAGCGGUGAAAUGCAUAGAUAUUAGGAGAACACCAGUGGCGAAGNCGGCUUUCUGGACUGUAACUGACGCUGAGCUCGAAAGCUAGGGUAGCGAACGGGAUAGAUACCCCGGUAGUCUAGCGUACNAUGNUACUAGNGUGGGAGGUAUCGACCCUUCGUGCNANUNCGCAUA
rnacentral:rRNA from 1 species